AUUGAACGCUGGCGGCAGGCCUUACACAUGCAAGUCGAACGAGUGGCGGACGGGUGAGUAAUGUCUGGGAAACUGCCCGAUGGAGGGGGAUAACUACUGGAAACGGUAGCUAAUACCGCAUACCAUCAGAUGUGCCCAGAUGGGAUUAGCUAGUUGGUGGGGUAACGGCUCACCAAGGCGACGAUCCCUAGCUGGUCUGAGAGGAUGACCAGCCACACUGGAACUGAGACACGGUCCAGACUCCUACGGGAGGCAGCAGUGGGGAAUUUUGCACAAUGGGCGAAAGCCUGAUGCAGCCAUGCCGCGUGUAUGAAGAAGGCCUUCGGGGUGUAAAGUACUUUCAGCGGGGAAGCGUUACCCGCAGAAGAAGCACCGGCUAACUCCGUGCCAGCAGCCGCGGUAAUUC
rnacentral:rRNA from 1 species